UACUUCAUUAAUGAAAAACCAGAACUGGAACGACCAAGAGCCAUAAAUGAUAACAAAAAUCACCAGAUCCAAGCAAACACAUGAGUCUCAGAUACUUAAGAAGUUACCACCAUGCUCAACAACAAAGAUGGGCAUCUAAAAGACCCAAAUCAUUUUCUUGGGGUGGGACAUCUUACCUAUGUAGCUCUGCUUUUUAACUUCGAGACCAGCAAUCUCCAGCAUCAGAAAAGCCGAGGGUGGCAGAAGAAUUGAGAAGAACAAGGUUCUUGAAUGGAAGACGUAAAUUCAAGUCUAAUGCCGACUAGAAGAAUCAAAGAAGAAAAGAAAGGUGGAGAAAGCUGUCACAGUCAAGUACCAAACUAGAGCCAGGAGAUCUGAGCAUCAAUGGUAGAAGUCAAAAGCAUCGGACGAAGGAUCCUAUUUCCAGUGAAGACUGCAGAAGGGGAAGCCCCAGCCAAUGCUGCCGGAUGGGGCCUGCUGCCCUCAGACGGGCUGUGACAGAAUUGUAUGAUGUGACACCAUAUGGACCACGAACCACAAGCAUACUGUACACGGUCCUUCCCAGAAAACAUUUGCUGGCCCUGAACUAGACCAUGGAGAAAUACCAAGAUGCAGUUUUUCUAAACUCAAAGUUGGAGGAAAGUACAUACACUGAGCUGAGGAACACCUGGAAGUAUCAUGUUUAAAGGCACCGGUCAGGGGAAGCUUGGCUGAGGAGAAACAGAGAUGUGUCUGAUACAUUGAGAGCAAGAAUGAGGAAGUUCCUGGAACAGUAAUCACGAAGACAACCAAGGCCAAAAAGCACACAGCACAUUUUGUGUCAAGCCAAGCUCACCAGAGAAAUGCCAAGGCAGAAGAAGAAACUGAUUCAGUCUUGCAAAGAGGGCAGCGAUGUGUCUCUAUUAAUCUGAAAAUUCUUCACUGAGCUGACAGUUGGAUCAAAGCCUGUGAGUGACCUGGUGCCCCGAAGCUGAUGCAGGAAAGGCUGCAGCGCAUUACCGAGUCGGGUCUUGUCUACUCAGAAGCAUGCCGUAUUCCAACGCAGCAGUUAGAAACUCUUUGAGUUCUUCCUAGGUAUAGUAAGGAUUCACAGUACUGAAGACACAAAAGUUCUAGAAUGGGGUUUGUCAAGAAGUGGGCAGCCGCCAGCAUACUCUCUGGCCACUGUAUCCACCCUCAUGAUGGACCGAAAUCUCUUAAAUAAUGAGCCGAUAUGAACCGUCUGUCCGUAUUUCAGAGAUGACAAAGGGACAAAACUGGGAAAGAGGUCACCAAUCACCGUUGUCAAGAAGGAGACAAGGCCUGACCACACACCAGAGAGCCUGUAGACAGGGUGUAUUCUCAGAUGGGGAAGUCAUGGCAACACUAGCAGACCCCAGUCCUUGCUCCUGCUGUGGAAAGUGACUUAGUCCAAAGACUUGCUUGGACGUGACACUGGUGACAUCUGUACACUCAGAAAUUUGCAUUUUAGAGCAGGAAGCCAGAUCCCAGUGGGUAGGAUCCUGGGGUAAGAACUGGGAGAUGUGAGAUUCCCAGACAAUCAAUAAAAAUGUCAUGUUAAAAAGAAAAAAAAAAAAAAAAAACAAACAACAACAAUGGAACCCACCCACCUGUGCCUUUAGAUACAACAGAAGCAGCUACCCUCUGCUCUUUCCACCAUGAUGCUGCAACAUGAUGGACUGUAUUUUCAAAUCUAAGCUAAAAUAAAUCCUUCCUUCUUUAAUGUGAAC
rnacentral:lncRNA from 1 species